UUUUCUCAAGAUAGUCAUCGAUAACACCAGCAUUGGCAGAGGAGUUGGAGGAAGCGGCGGCGAAAAGAGCAGCAGCAAGGCUGAGGAGCGCGACUCUUCUUCCGGCUAUCUGGUCUUUGUUGGAGGAUUGUUGAGCCUUGAUGACUGGCAAUUUCUGAAGUGAUGGAGAGCCAGACAUGGAAACAGCAGCAUACUUUGAGGUGAGUUCAGAUGCACCAAUGCCUGAGACAGCAUAGCUACAUGCCAAUACACUUGAGUUCAUUGCUGCCAUUUU
rnacentral:lncRNA from 1 species